AAAUCGUACCCCAAACCGACACAGGUGGUCAGGUAGAGAAUACCAAGGCGCUUGAGAGAACUCGGGUGAAGGAACUAGGCAAAAUGGUGCCGUAACUUCGGGAGAAGGCACGCUGGUGUGUAGGUGAAGUCCCUGCGGAUGGAGCUGAGACCAGUCGAAGAUACCAGCUGGCUGCAACUGUUUAUUAAAAACACAGCACUGUGCAAACACGAAAGUGGACGUAUACGGUGUGACGCCUGCCCGGUGCCGGAAGGUUAAUUGAUGGGGUUAUCCGUAAGGAGAAGCUCUUGAUCGAAGCCCCGGUAAACGGCGGCCGUAACUAUAACGGUCCUAAGGUAGCGAAAUUCCUUGUCGGGUAAGUUCCGACCUGCACGAAUGGCGUAAUGAUGGCCAGGCUGUCUCCACCCGAGACUCAGUGAAAUUGAACUCGCUGUGAAGAUGCAGUGUACCCGCGGCAAGACGGAAAGACCCCGUGAACCUUUACUAUAGCUUGACACUGAACAUUGAGCCUUGAUGUGUAGGAUAGGUGGGAGGCUUUGAAGCGUGGACGCCAGUCUGCGUGGAGCCAACCUUGAAAUACCACCCUUUAAUGUUUGAUGUUCUAACGUUGGCCCCUGACCGGGGUUGCGGACAGUGUCUGGUGGGUAGUUUGACUGGGGCGGUCUCCUCCCAAAGCGUAACGGAGGAGCACGAAGGUUAGCUAAUCCUGGUCGGACAUCAGGAGGUUAGUGCAAUGGCAUAAGCUAGCUUGACUGCGAGCGUGACGGCGCGAGCAGGUGCGAAAGCAGGUCAUAGUGAUCCGGUGGUUCUGAAUGGAAGGGCCAUCGCUCAACGGAUAAAAGGUACUCCGGGGAUAACAGGCUGAUACCGCCCAAGAGUUCAUAUCGACGGCGGUGUUUGGCACCUCGAUGUCGGCUCAUCACAUCCUGGGGCUGAAGUAGGUCCCAAGGGUAUGGCUGUUCGCCAUUUAAAGUGGUACGCGAGCUGGGUUUAGAACGUCGUGAGACAGUUCGGUCCCUAUCUGCCGUGGGCGCUGGAGAAUUGAGGGGGGCUGCUCCUAGUACGAGAGGACCGGAGUGGACGCAUCACUGGUGUUCGGGUUGUCAUGCCAAUGGCACUGCCCGGUAGCUAAAUGCGGAAGAGAUAAGUGCUGAAAGCAUCUAAGCACGAAACUUGCCCCGAGAUGAGUUCUCCCUGAGACUUUAAGUCUCCUGAAGGAACGUUAAAGACGAUGACGUUGAUAGGCCGGGUGUGUAAGCGCAGCGAUGCGUUGAGCUAACCGGUACUAAUGAACCGUGAGGCUUAACCUUACAACGCCGAAG
rnacentral:rRNA from 1 species